AAAUCUAGAUCCCUGUUACAUGAUUUUGUGCUUGGUAAUGACUUCCUCUAAAUCUAGAUCCCUGUUACCUGAUUUUGUGCUUGGUAAUGACUGCCC